rnacentral:rRNA from 1 species
AUAACGACUCUCGGCAACGGAUAUCUCGGCUCUCGCAUCGAUGAAGAACGCAGCGAAAUGCGAUACUUGGUGUGAAUUGCAGAAUCCCGCGAACCAUCGAGUCUUUGAACGCAAGUUGCGCCCAAAGCCUUUUGGCCGAGGGCACGUCUGCCUGGGUGUCACGCAACAA